UACGUAGGGGGCAAGCGUUGUCCGGAUUUAUUGGGCGUAAAGAGCGUGUAGGCGGUCAGGUAGGUCCGUUGUGAAAACUCGAGGCUCAACCUCGAGACGCCGAUGGAAACCAUCUGACUAGAGUCCGGAAGAGGAGAGUGGAAUUCCCGGUGUAGCGGUGAAAUGCGCAGAUAUCGGGAAGAACACCCGUGGCGAAGGCGGCUCUCUGGGACGGUACUGACGCUGAGACGCGAAAGCGUGGGGAGCGAACAGG
rnacentral:rRNA from 1 species